rnacentral:ncRNA from 12 species
AUUAAAUGAGGUGGACAAUGGCAUCCACGCACCUAUAUUGGUUAAAAGAGAUGAAAGUACAGCCAGACUUUCCAUUUAAU